UACAGAGGUGGCACGCGUUGUUCGGAAUUACUGGGCGUAAAGGGCUCGUAGGCGGUCUUCUAAGUCUUGUGUGAAAUCCCUCGGCCCAACUGAGGAACUGCACGGGAUACUGGAUGACUUGAGUUCGGGAGAGGGAAGCGGAAUUCCGGGUGUAGCGGUGAAAUGCGUAGAUAUCUGGAGGAACACCGGUGGCGAAGGCGGCAUCCUGGACCAACACUGACGCUGAGGAGCGAAAGCCAGGGGAGCAAACGGG
rnacentral:rRNA from 1 species